rnacentral:rRNA from 1 species
UACAGAGGGUGCGAGCGUUGUCCGGAAUCACUGGGCGUAAAGGGCGCGUAGGUGGUGGCUUAAGCGUGCGGUGAAAGCUCGGAGCUCAACGCCGAGUCGGCCGUGCGAACUGGGCUCACUGGAGCAUAGUAGAGGCAGGUGGAAUUCCGGGUGUAGCGGUGGAAUGCGUAGAGAUCCGGAAGAACACCGGUGGCGAAAGCGGCCUGCUGGGCUAUGGCUGACACUGAGACGCGACAGCGUGGGGAGCAAACAGG